UAAUUUUGUCUCUGCUCUCUCUAUAUGUUUUUCAGAGACGAGUUCCAGUCUCCGGUCCAUUUUAUCGCGCUUUUCAUUAUGAACUCGGUGAUUUCAUGAUGUUUAAGGACAACCAUGGGAAUGAGUUUCACGUCAUGUUAGACAAGGUUGGUAACAAUGCUUUUUUUUCGAGGGAUUUCGUUCCAUGGUUGCCGCGUACAACAUAAGGCAUGGGGCUUGGUUGCGCGCCUACUAUGAAGGUGAUGGCACUCUAUGCAUCUCUAUAAGGAACCUUGACGGAUUCCGCAUUGUGUAUCCAAGACCACAUUCUCGAAGCAACUUCACUGCUCCUACACUCAGUAGUGUUAAUCCUCACCGUACAGGCGUUCUUUCUCGUGAUGUCUUCCACACCGGCGACGUUAUACCUCCAUUUUCCAUAGAAUACACUCCUCCCACCUCUCCUGUUCGUAGCAACGCCUUCGGCAGUCCACAAAACUCAACCAACAGCCUGGGUUGUCCUGUCUAUUUUGCCUCGACUACUUCACAAGCGAGUCUGGUGGGCCAGGUUGACCUCGAUUUGCAGAGGCGAUCUCUUAGUCUGCCCGUUGCAUGAGAUACUGUCAGCUUCUCUGAGUGGAUUCGUCGUUAGAUUUGUUUUCGAUAUUGUCUUGCUACCAAGGAUCCUCCUACUCAUGCCUAAUCCAAGUUUCAUGUUUAAAUUCAACUCUUCGCUGUUUCUUCAUUUGUGCUUUGUCAUGUCGUGGAUCGUGUUUUGUUUCUUUUCU